GACCGGGUCAAGUGCGUGCGUGCGUGUGUGUGUAUGUGUGUGUGUGUGUGUCUUCUAUCAUGUCAAGCGCUGAAAUAAAAUAAAGAAUAAAACAGACAAGUUUUAAUGAAGUGAUGUGAUGCUCAAACUGCGGGUGUGAUCUUCAGUCGCACUAAUCAGAAAUAGUUUGUGAUGUUUGCAGAACUCACUGGGGUGUUGCGGGUGGUUGUCAGGGUGUUGCUAAGGUGUUGAUCUUUGAUAGAUUCUGUGGUGUUGACAGGACCCGGGUCUGUAUUUUCUGAUGUGUUUAUUGCUCAGGAGCGUUUUUAAGACACAACUAGUUAUUGGAUUGAUGAAGUUUGCCUGGUUUACUGUAUGUGAACAGAGUUACUGCAGCAUAAACAUGGACAUCAUGACUUUUGAAAAACUUUGGAAGCAGAUAUUGAGAUUUUGUGUGUUAUCAGUUUUAUGGAGGUCAUGAAACUGGAGUAAGAAAAUAGCACAGAAUUUCCCAUCUGUAUCCGCUUAUUAUCUUUCCCAUCGCUCUCUCUCUCGCUCUCUCUCCCCCUUCUCACAUUCUCUUUAUCUCUCAUCCUCAUCUUCAUCUCUCUCCGCUGUCUCACAUUCCCUCCAUCUCUUUAUCUCUCCGUCUUCUCAGGUGGAGCUCCUUCACGGCUCGUCUCUCAGCCUUCAGCAGGAUUGUGUGAGAUGCUGUUGAGGAGAGAAGAGCGGGACCGCGUUCACCUGCAGACGUGUGAGGUUAAGCAGAGAGACGUCAUGAACCAUCCGCUGAAGCGUCUUAACAAUGAAAAACACAUCCUGACCUCGGUGACCCUCUCAUCUCUCCAUCUAUCCGCCCGUGCUCCUCCUCUGACCUUCAUCUCUGCACUUCACUGCCUGCUCUCCCUGAAUCUCAUUCUGUCUCCCACCGGAUUUCCCAGCGAGACUUUGAUUAUUCUGCUAUCAGUGGAUGUGUGGGGAGUUUCCGCUGUGACCCUGAAGCGAGCGGAGCGGCCCGGCCCGGGUUCACCUGCAGCACCGUUAUCUCCCGCUUCACUCGCUCUGAUAAACUUUAAUUAAAAUCUGUCCUGUCCUUUGACGUUUCGUGAUUUCGUUUAAAGAGGCCGAGAGUCAGAAGAGUUUCAUUUGGAAGAUCAGACUCAUUUUGAAUGCUUGUGCCGUCAUUUAUUGAAGUGUUUGUAUAAAACACAACGCCAGACAAAUGUCAUCUGUGUUCAGUUCAGAACAUGUUUACAGAAGGAUAUACAGAAAAAAACCAAACACGAACGUCACAUUUCACAUUGAUUUCAUUACUAAUGCUGCUCUUUGGGAUGAUGGAUGAAGGAUGAUGUCUUCAAAUAAAAAAAACCCUUCUUGAUAAAACUCAUAAAUGCAAUUUUCCUGUAUUCUGUUAUUUUUUGUAUUAUUUAUUUUUAUUUCUGGAUUGUUUAUUUACUCUAGAGCUUUUCACAGUGUUGCAAAGCAGAUACAUAGAAAAAAUAUGAAAUGAUUUUAAAUAGAACUGUGCUUGUGUGCAUGUGAGUGUCGAGUAUUUGAUUUAUUACUAUUAAACCUACAUGUCAGGUCUGGGUUAAUGUGGGAUUUUGACCAUCGUGUGUAAAACAUUGAAAACAAUGAUUUCCUCCAAAUGAAUCGAGUUGUAAUAACAGUCCACAGGCUUCAAUUACUUUGACUUUUAAGCUGUGAUUUCAAAUACUGUUGAACACUUUUCAUGUUUUCUCAUUUGUCAGUAGUGAUGUGAUUGUUUGGGUAAGAAAUUUUAGUACAUAAUGUUUAAGUGAAUGACGACAUCUACAUCUUUCAGUCAGCUACGUUGAUGUUUCGUAAAUGUAUUAUGGCAACAUUUAUUACCUUAAUGGAACAAACUGAAAAAUUCUUGAUGCAACCAGUCAAUAGAAACUUGUAAGUUUGGAGGACUGAAGAAAAAUGACCAAAUUUUAUUUACUUAUAAAUCAUACAUCAUACUUGUGUUUUAUCACAUUCAUGUAUUUGGCCAAAGCGGCUUACAUUGCAUUAUACUGGAUAUUUGGCUUUGAGUAUGCUCAAUCCCGGGUUACAGCUUCCUCCAGUUCAUGAAUAUAUUCACUAACAAUAAAAACCUGAUGCUACAAAAAUAUCAUCAUUAAUAUGCUAAAUAUGAUGUUCAGUGUCUGAUGAGAACAGGCAAAAGUGGAGCGUUCAGAGAGGACGUCCUGAGGGCCGGCUCACGGGGA